UGGUUCUCGCAUCGAUGAAGAACGCAGCGAAAUGCGAUAAGUAGUGUGAAUUGCAGAAUUCAGUGAAUCAUCGAAUCUUUGAACGCACAUUGCGCCUCCUGGCAUUCCGGGAGGCAUGCCUGUUCGAGCGUCAGUAAAGCCCUCUCGGGCCCCUUUCUCCGGGGCCCGGUAUUGGGAGAGGAGUGCUGCACCUGCCUGCCCUCCCUCCGGAAAUCAAAUGGCGGAGAGCCCCACGUUGCCCCCUGCGUAGUAAGUUUUCUUUCGCUCGGAACGUGAGGGUGAUCCUGCCGCAAACCACACCAAAAGUGAUUAAUUCAGGUUGACCUCGAAUCGGGUAGGGAUACCCGCUGA
rnacentral:misc_RNA from 1 species